UUCUUCACCACAUUUCAUGCAUCAGCCCAUCUCUAAUUUUCACACGCAUGCUUUCAUGCUGUUUGAAAGUAAGCUACCCUAAAUGUAACAAGUUUGUCUCGUAUUAGAUUUCACAUUCUAGUGCCGCAAACUUAAUCUCCUGACUUUCUUCUUCUCAAAAUUUCGAUCCUGAAUGUAAAUUUACUAAUGGAUCCCCUUCUGCUGAAAACUUCACAACCGCUUUGAAAGUGCAAGGAGCUUGACAGCAAAAUUCAGCUUGUAACUGUGACACCAAGCCCGUGGGAUUCAACAGGGAAUUUUCUAAAGAGGCAUGACUGAUUCUGGGACCAUGACACCAUCCGAUCGGACUGUCGUGAUUCUUUUUUUCUGCCUAGUUGGUUUAAUUGUAUUGUUAAUCUUCUUGUACAAGAAGCUGAACAGGGAGGCCGAUGGAAAAUACACCAUCCGACACAUGGUGUAUAAGGAAGGAGGGGUCAGGGACUGGGUGAGAGGUGCAGCAUUAACUCUGGGGGCACGUCUUGGAGUCCAGCUGUGGCCUCAUCGUGGUUCUGAUGGAGAAGCAGAGGAAAUGCAAGAAGAUGAAGAGGGACGGGUGGAGGAAGGUGAUCGCCAGGAGAGUGACAGCGAGGAAGAUGAUCAGGGAGAGGAGGAUAAUGUGGAGGGGUGUGGUAAUGAUGACAAGGGAUCAGAAGCAGGGGAGCAAGCCAGGCUAAUAGAUCAGCCAGAGGCCAAUAGAGAGAGGGAGGAGAAGGGUGAGGUAAAGGAGGAGAAAGUGAAAGAUGGAGAAGGCAAAGGUGAAGCAAGUGGAGGGGCUGGACUGUUGAUUGAUCUAAAGCAGUUCUCUGGAAGUGCCAUCUGGUCGGAAGAGCAGGAAGGCGAAAGAGAAGACAUUGAUGUGACUCCACUUUAAAGAACAAAAUAAAAGAAAUCAUGAAAAUUAAAGGGAGGCUUAGGAAAUUAAGGUCUCCUGUGAGCUGUCAAACUUUUUUGUUAAUUUUUAUACAUUUUCUAAACAACAUGAAUGUCUCAGUGGUGUUCCACACUGAAUUAGCCUGGAGAACACCAAUCAAUUAUUUAGUUGCAGAAUGUAGGGAGUCAGCCAGAUGUUUGUGUGUAUAAUAAUGACAUGUAAGGAUUUUGUGAUGUAAAACUGGCUUGACCAGUUAAGAAAUCAAACUUUGUGUCACUGCGUCUGUUUUGAUAGUUUUAAAUGCAUUUUUCUAAUUCAUAUGAAAAACAGAUUUUAUUGUGCAACCACUGUUCUUAUGAAAUGAUUAAACAAUUGCCCUUUUAUUACUAAG